GAAAGCUGGGGGAGCGAAUGGGAUUAGAUACCCCAGUAGUCCUAGCCGCCGUAAACGAUGGAUACUAGGCGCUGUGCGUAUCGACCCGUGCAGUGUUGUACCUAACACGUUAAGUAUCC
rnacentral:ncRNA from 1 species